UACGACGGGGGCUAGCGUUGCUCGGAAUCACUGGGCGUAAAGGGCGCGUAGGCGGAUCUUUAAGUCGGGGGUGAAAGCCUGUGGCUCAACCACAGAAUUGCCUUCGAUACUGUAGAGCUUGAGACCGGAAGAGGUAAGUGGAACUGCGAGUGUAGAGGUGAAAUUCGUAGAUAUUCGCAAGAACACCAGUGGCGAAGGCGGCUGACUGGUCCGGUUCUGACGCUGAGGCGCGAAAGCGUGGGGAGCAAACAGG
rnacentral:rRNA from 1 species